rnacentral:rRNA from 1 species
AUUGAACGCUGGCGGCAGGCUUAACACAUGCAAGUCGAGCGAGCGGCGGACGGGUGAGUAAGGGCUGGGAAACUGCCUGAUGGAGGGGGAUAACUACUGGAAACGGUAGCUAAUACCGCAUACCAUCAGAUGUGCCCAGAUGGGAUUAGCUAGUGGGUGGGGUAAUGGCUCACCGAGGCGACGAGCCCCAGCUGGUCUGCGAGGAUGACCAGCCACACUGGAACUGAGACACGGUCCAGACUCCUACGGGAGGCAGCAGUGGGGAAUAUUGGGCAAUGGGCGCAAGCCUGAUGGAGCCAGGCCGCGUGUGUGAAGAAGGCCUUCGGGUUGUAAAGCACUUUCAGCGAGGAGGCGUUACUCGCAGAAGAAGCACCGGCUAACUCCGUGCCAGCAGCCGCGGUAAUAC